rnacentral:rRNA from 1 species
CCUACGGGAGGCAGCAGUGAGGAAUAUUGGUCAAUGGACGAGAGUCUGAACCAGCCAAGUAGCGUGAAGGAUGACUGCCCUAUGGGUUGUAAACUUCUUUUAUAUGGGAAUAAAACGUUCCACGUGUGGGAUUUUGUGUGUACCAUAUGAAUAAGGAUCGGCUAACUCCGUGCCAGCAGCCGCGGUAAUACGGAGGAUCCGAGCGUUAUCCGGAUUUAUUGGGUUUAAAGGGAGCGUAGGUGGAUUGUUAAGUCAGUUGUGAAAGUUUGCGGCUCAACCGUAACAUUGCAGUUGAAACUGGCAGUCUUGAGUACAGUAGAGGUAGGCGGAAUUCGUGGUGUAGCGGUGAAAUGCUUAGAUAUCACGAAGAACUCCGAUUGCGAAGGCAGUUCACUGGACUGCAACUGACACUGAGGCUCGAAAGUGUGGGUAUCAAACAGGAUUAGAUACCCCUGUAGUC